rnacentral:rRNA from 1 species
GACGAACGCUGGCGGCGUGCUUAACACAUGCAAGUCGAGCGAGGCCCCUCCUUCGGGAGGGUGUCCUAGCGGCGAACGGGUGAGUAACACGUGGGCAACCUGCCCUCAUCUCUGGGAUAACUCCGGGAAACCGGGGCUAAUACCGGAUACGACCUCCACGGGCAUCUGCGGAGGUGGAAUGUUUUUCGGCUGUGGAUGGGCGCGCGGCCUAUCAGCUAGUUGGUGGGGUAGUGGCCCACCAAGGCGACGACGGGUAGCCGGCCUGAGAGGGGGACCGGCCACAAUGGGACUGAGACACGGCCCAGACUCCUACGGGAGGCAGCAGUGGGGAAUAUUGCGCAAUGGGCGAAAGCCUGACGCAGCGACGCCGCGUGAGGGACGAAGGCCUUCGGGUUGUAAACCUCUUUCAGCGGGGACGAAGCGAAAGUGACGGUACCUGCAGAAGAAGCACCGGCCAACUACGUG